ACNUGCAGUUGACGAGAUUAGUUUUAGCAAUAGAACUAGUUUAGUGGCGCACGGGUGCGUAACGCGUAUGCAACCUACCUUAAACAGGGGAAUAGCCUCUCGAAAGAGAGAUUAAUACCGCAUAACAUAUAUUUAGAGCAUUCUAGAUAUAUCAAACCUACGGGGGUUUAAGAUGGGCAUGCGUGACAUUAGCUAGUUGGUGAGGUAACGGCUCACCAAGGCAACGAUGUCUAGGGGGUCUGAGAGGAUGUCCCCCCACACUGGUACUGAGACACGGACCAGACUCCUACGGGAGGCAGCAGUAGGGAAUAUUGGUCAAUGGAGGCAACUCUGAACCAGCCAUGCCGCGUGCAGGACUAAGGCCCUAUGGGUCGUAAACUGCUUUUGAAUGGGAAGAAAUGUAUCUACGUGUAGAUAUUUGACGGUACCAUUAGAAUAAGGAUCGGCUAACUUCGUGCCAGCAGCCGCGGUAAUACGAAGGAUCCAAGCGUUGUCCGGAUUUACUGGGUUUAAAGGGUGCGUAGGCGGACUUAUAAGUCAGUGGUGAAAGCCUUCAGCUUAACUGAAGAACUGCCAUUGAAACUGUGAGUCUCGAGUUCGGUUGAGGUCAUUGGAAUGUAACAUGUAGCGGUGAAAUGCAUAGAUAUGUUACAGAACACCAAUUGCGAAGGCAGAUGACUAAACCGAAACUGACGCUGANGCACGAAAGCGUGGGGAUCAAACAGGAUUAGAUACCCUGGUAGUCCACGCCCUAAACGUUGAAUACUCGACCUUAGCGAUAUACAGUUAGGGUCCAAGCGAAAGCGUUAAGUAUUCCACCUGNNAAGUACGUUCGCAAGAAUGAAACUCAAAGGAAUUGACGGGGGCCCGCACAAGCGGAGGAGCAUGU
rnacentral:rRNA from 1 species